rnacentral:sRNA from 3 species
AUUCUACCCAUGUGGGGAAGGAUGAGAAGCUUCGACUAAGGUUCGAUUCGAGCGAAAGCGAGAAAGCGUUGCCGCAGGCAACGACCCGAAGGGCGAAGCGCGCAGCGCUGAGUAAUCCUUCCCCCACCACCA